rnacentral:rRNA from 1 species
GACCUCCUACGGGACGCAGCAGUAGGGAAUCUUCCACAAUGGGCGAAAGCCUGAUGCAGCGACGCCGCGUGAGGGAAGACGGUCUUCGGAUUGUAAACCUCCGUCUUUGGGGAAGAAAAUGACGGUACCCAAAGAGGAAGCUCCGGCUAACUACGUGCCAGCAGCCGCGGUAAUACGUAGGGAGCAAGCGUUGUCCGGAAUUACUGGGUGUAAAGGGAGCGUAGGCGGGAUGGCAAGUAGAAUGUUAAAUCCAUCGGCUCAACCGGUGGCUGCGUUCUAAACUGCCGUUCUUGAGUGAAGUAGAG